rnacentral:rRNA from 1 species
AGGGAAUAUUGGACAAUGGGCGCAAGCCUGAUCCAGCCAUCCCGCGUGAAGGAUUAAGGCCCUAUGGGUUGUAAACUUCUUUUCUCUGGGAAUAAAAAGCGGGAUUUAUCCUGCCUUGAAGGUAUCAGAGGAAUAAGCACCGGCUAACUCCGUGCCAGCAGCCGCGGUAAUACGGAGGGUGCAAGCGUUAUCCGGAUUCACUGGGUUUAAAGGGAGCGUAGGUGGCUUUGUAAGUCAGUGGUGAAAUGUCGCAGCUUAACUGCGAAACUGCCAUUGAUACUGCUUAGCUUGAAUCACGUCGAGGUGGAUGGAAUAUUACAUGUAGCGGUGAAAUGCUUAGAUAUGUAAUAGAACACCGAUUGCGAAGGCAGUUCACUAGGCGUGUAUUGACACUGAGGCUCGAAAGCGUGGGGAUCAAACAGGA